rnacentral:rRNA from 1 species
GACGAACGCUGGCGGCGUGGAUUAGGCAUGCAAGUCGGACGGUAGGGCUUUAUCGUAAGAUAGAGUUUGAGAGUGGCGAACGGGUGAGUAACACGUAGGAAUCUACCCUUAAGACGGGGACAACCCAGGGAAACUUGGGCUAAUACCGGAUGAGAGUGCGAGAGAUUGCAUUUAAAAGGAUGGCGAAAGUUGUCGCUUAGGGAUGAGCCUGCGGUCUAUUAGUUAGUUGGUGAGGUAAGAGCUCACCAAGGCGAUGAUAGAUAGGCGGCCUUAACGGGUGGUCGCCCACACUGGGAUUGAGAUACGGCCCAGACUCCUACGGGAGGCAGCAGUCGAGAAUAGUCUACAAUGGCCGGAAGGCUGAUAGUGCGACGCCGCGUGAACGAGGGAGCCCUUCGGGUGUAAAGUUCUUUUCUUAUACGAGCAGUGCUAUAUAUAUGGACAGUAUAUAUAGAGGGAUAGUAGUAUAGGAAUAAGCAACGGCUAACUCCGUGCCAGCACG